rnacentral:tRNA from 1 species
GGGCUGUGUGCUGGUGCACAGUGUUGCCUUGCAAGCAACGCCCGCGGGGUUCGACUCCCCGACGGUCCAC